rnacentral:misc_RNA from 1 species
UUUCCGUAGGUGAACCUGCGGAAGGAUCAUUAUUGUAUAACCGAGGUGCGAGGGCUGUCGCUGACCCGAAAGGUCGUGCACGCCCGAGUGCCCUCACACACAUCCAUCUCACCCCUAUGUGCACCACCGCGUGGGUCCCCCUUUGGCUUGUUCGGAGGGGGGCUUACGUUUUCACACAAACUUUGUAUGCAGUGUAGAAUGUAUUUUUUGUUUUUGCGAUCACGCAAUCAAUACAACUUUCAACAACGGAUCUCUUGUCUCGCGCAUGAUGAAGAACGCAGC